AGAGUUUGAUCAUGGCUCAGAACGAACGCUGGCGGCAGGCUUAACACAUGCAAGUCGAACGGUUGUAGCAAUACAGCAGUGGCAGACGGGUGAGUAACACGUGGGAACCUUCCUAGGGGUACGGAACAACUCAGGGAAACUUGAGCUAAUACCGUAUACGUCCGUGAGGAGAAAGAUUUAUCGCCCUUAGACGGGCCCGCGUCGGAUUAGGUAGUUGGUGGGGUAACGGCCUACCAAGCCGACGAUCCGUAGCUGAUCUGAGAGGAUGAUCAGCCACACUGGGACUGAGACACGGCCCAGACUCCUACGGGAGGCAGCAGUGGGGAAUCUUGGACAAUGGGCGCAAGCCUGAUCCAGCCAUGCCGCGUGAGUGAAGAAGGCCUUAGGGUUGUAAAGCUCUUUUGCCAGGGACGAUAAUGACAGUACCUGAGAAUAG
rnacentral:rRNA from 1 species